GGUGGCUCAGUGGUAGAGUGCUUGACUAGCAUGCAUGAAGCCCUGGGUUCAAUCCUCAGUACCA
rnacentral:tRNA from 1 species